rnacentral:rRNA from 1 species
AUGCCAACCUUCCGUGAAGCUGCAGAAAAACGGGGGCUCAUUGAGGCAGACAACACAUUGGAUGACUGCAUGACAGAAGCGGAGUUGUUUCGAAUGCCAUCGUCGUUACAAAGGCUAUUCGCAACAAUCCUGUUGUUUUGCGAGCCAAGCAACGUCCGUAGCCUCUGGAACAAACACCUAGAGUCAAUGUCAGAAGACUACAGUAGAAACUGCAAAUGCAAGCACAUGGUUGAACAGAUGGUGCUGAGAAAUAACAGGGACAUGUUGCACUCAAUGGGAAAAGACAUAAAAUCAUUUCCUCUUCCGGAGAUUGACAAACAACAUGAGACGACAGACGACAUACCUAGGGAAAUCAUCGAGGAGACCUCGAUUGAGGUGGACCCCGAGGACGCAUCUUUACAUAAAAACCUAAACAACGAGCAGAGGAAGGCCUACGAUGAAAUUCUACACACAAUUGACCGCCAAAGAGGAGGCAUAUUCUUUGUCGAUGGACCAGGAGGCAUAGGAAAACUUUUCUUUACAGGGCGCUCUUGGCCACAAUACGCGGACAAGGAAAAAUUCUUGUGGCGACAGCCACUUCUGGUGUUGCUGCUUCCAUAA